ensembl:lincRNA
AUUUUACACCUGCACAUUCACAGAAGAGACAAAUUCCACAAAAAAUAGAGACACACACAGAGACAGAAGAAAACCAACUGAGACUCAGCAUCUUGAAAAGGAAGAAAACAAAUAUUCCAGCAAGCAGUGCAGAACUCUGCUUGGUCUCUUACCAGAAAAUAGAAGUCGGUUUAACUUAUGUUGCUGAUGACUAGAAAGUCCAAGAUGGAGGAAUUACAUCUGAAAGAUCAUUUGUGCUGUACUAUGACAUGGUAGAAAGCAUCAUAUGGAAUUGGUAUAUACUGCAACCUAGCCAACAUUUGAAGGUAUCUUGUCCUCAUCUCAUGUGCCCCCUAGCAACGAUAUUAUCAACAAGAACUUCAUGUUCUUCAUAACCAAUAUGCUCAAGUCCAGAGACAUGAUCUGAAGAAAUUCUGACACAUCAGUGCUUUCUAAUGACUUCUAGGCAAUUUCAUUAUUUGCAUUGGUCAUUUUGUAGCCACUUCUGUCACAUCUUCCUGCUGAGUAUUUGCUUAAUUCAAGUGAUGAUACCUUUGGAGAGGGAAGCACGGACCUCAGUAUGGAUCAGUGAUACAUUGAGUCUGCAGGGGAGAAAUGGAAAACAGAGGCUCCUUAAGUUAAAUCCAUGUGAACACCAAAAACCACAAUUAUAUUUGGAUAUGUGUCACAUCCACCUCAUCAAAUGCUGUGUAAUAUAGAUGGAAGAUAUCACCCAGACAUCUAUAAUUUUAUCCAAAAUGACACUAUAAAUGGAACUAAUGGCCCAGGAUACAGAUACAGUUAUCUAGCACCAACUCAUAGACAGAAAACUAAGGAUUUCCUUAACUCUCCCCAACAUAAAUAAUAAUAUCUUGGUGACUGUUAUCUAAAUAAAAAAGUUACAGUAGAAAAUCAUUGAAAAUAGAUUAUGUUUUCAUACAGUAUAUCCUGAUUAUAGUUUCUCUUCCCUCUACUCCUCUCAGUACCUUGCCACCUUUCCUUCCCUUUAAAUAUAACCCGUUCUGUCUUUUACUAGAAAAUAACAGGUAUCUAAGAGAUAACAACCAAACAUGACAAAAUAAAAUACAAUAUGAUGAAGCAAAAAUUGUUAUAUUGAAAUUGAGCAUGGCUACCCAACAUGAGGAGAAAAGUACCAAGAGUAGGUACAAGCAUCAGAGAACCACUCAUUAUUAUCGUCAGGAGUACGAUAAAAAUACUAAUCUAAUAGCUAAAAUAUAUAUCCAGAGAAUCUGGUACAGUCACAUAUAGGCCUGUACUUUCUGCUUCAAUCUCUGUGACCUCCUAUGUGCUUUGCUUAGUUGAUCUAAGUGGCAUUGCAGAAAAGCUUCGUUUGACAGUGGGAAACAGUCAAACUAGGGAAUCAUAACUUACUAAGGUUCUGAAAAUGAGUUAUUGUUAAGUGCUUGGCUCCAAAAGAUACAUGUAUGACAUAUCCCCUGCAACCCAUGGAACAUACCAGAAGAGAGGAUGGAUGGAUGGAUGGACAGUGAGAAUCAAAGGACAUAUUGAGAUGUCAUCUGGAUAUGACAUGUCUAUUGUAAUCAAGAACACACAACCACUGCAACUGCCUGCAUCAGCCCUGAACCAAAAAAUACUGUGGUGAGGGGUAUAUAAGAGUAAGAGGGUUAUUAUUUGGGAAAAUGAAGGGGGUUGGGAGGAAUGGAAAGAGGAGAGGAGAAGGUAAUUGAGUAUGAGUGUUAUCAAAUCACAUUUUUUUUUUACUUUUCUUUUUUUAUUAGAUAUUUUCUUUAUUUACAUUUCAAAUGUUAUCACCUUUCUUAGUUUCCCCUCAGAAAACCCCCUAUCACUACCCCCUUCAACCGGUCACCAACCCACCCACUCCAACUUCCUGGCCCUGGCAUUCACCUAUACUGGAGUAUAGAACAUUCACAGGAUGAAGGGCCGCUCUUUCCAUUGAUGACUGACUAGGCCAUUCUCUGCUACAUGUACAGCUAGAGCCAUGAGUCCCACCAUGUGUUUUCUUUGGUUGAUGGUUUAGUCCCAGGGAGGUCUGGGGGUACUGGUUAGUUCAUAUUGUUGUUCCUCCUAUGGGAAUGCAAACCCCUUCAGCUCUUUGAGUGCUUUUCCUAGCUCCUUCAUUGGGGACCCAGUGCUCUGUCCAAUGAAUGGCUGUGAGCAUCCACUUCUGUAUUUGUCAGGCACUGGCAGAGCCUCUCAGGAGACAGCUAUAUCAGGUUCCUGUUAGCAAGCUCUUGUUGUCAUCCACAAUAGUGCCUGGGUUUGAUGGUUGUAUAUGGGAUGGAUACAGAGGUGUGGCAGUCUCUGGAUGAUCAUUCCUUCAGUUUCUGCUCCACAUUUUGACUUUGUAACUCCUUCCAUGGGUGUUUUGUUCCCCCUUCUAAGAAUGAUCAAAGUGUCCAUAUGUUGGUCUUCCUUCUUGAGUUUCAUUUGUUUUAUGAAUUGUAUCUUGGGUAUUCCAAGCUUCUGGGCUAAUUUCCAUUUAUCAGUGAGUGCAUAUCAUGUGUGUUCUUUUGUGAUUGGGCUACCUCACUCAGGAUAAUAUCCUCCAGAUCCAUCCAUUUGCUAAGAAUUUCAUAAAUUAAUUGUUUUUAAUAGCUGAGUCGUACUCCAUUGUGUAAAUGUACUACAUUUUCUGUAUCCAUUCCUCUGUUGAGGGACAUCUGGGUUCUUUCCAGCUCCUGGCUAUUAUAAAUACAGAGGUAAAUAAAGUAUUCUCAACUAAGGAAUACUGAAUGGCUGAGAAGCACCUAAAGAAAUGUUAAACAUCCUUAGUCAUCAGGGAAAUGCAAUUCAAAACAACCCUGAGAUUCUACCUCAUACCAGUCAGAAUAGCUAAGAUCAAAAACUCAGGUGACAGCAGAUGAUGGCUAGAAUGUAGAGAAAGAGGAACAUUCCUCCAUUGCUGGUGGGAUUGCAAGCUGGUACAACCACUCUGGAAAUCAGUUUGGCAGUUCCUCAGAAAAUUGGACAUAGUACUACCGGAGGAUCCAGAAAUACCACUCCUGGGCAUAUAACUAGAAGAUGCUCCAACAUGUAACAAGGACACAUGCUCCACUAUGGUCAAAUCACAUUUAAAGCAAGUAUGUAUGAUACUGUCAAAAUAUAUAUUAAUAUACGUUUUAGUCUGAAGGUGAGGAGAAAAAGCAACAUUCAGGGAAGAAAAGUGAACACCGUUGACAAUGGAUUUCUCUGAGAGUUGUGGAAAUGAGACAUAUCCUAAUGUGGAUAUGGGAUCUCAAGAGGAGAGUUGCAACUGUUCUAAUAUUAGUAACAUUCUCAAUUUUAGCAGUUCUCAUUACAUCCCAAAACACUGCUAAGAAACUUGUGGGGUUUUUUUCUUCUUCUUUCUCCAUUUGACAGGUUUGGUGACUCUGGUGGAGGUCCCUUGGAUAGAACUAUAAUGUGAUAAAGUAAAAACAGAAGCCACUGGAGUUGCACAAGAGCUUUGGUACAUGUCAAUUUCCUGUAAAUGAAGGUUCUGAUUAUAGUCCUAUUAAAUUGCAGGGCUUAAAAUGGGAAAGGGAGAAAAGCCUUAAGCAGUUUUCGAUUGUGCAAACAGAGUUCUUGUCUUUAUGCUGGCAUGAGGUUUCAAUUGGAUACUAGGGUGAGGCAAUUUUCCCUGUUCUCACCUUUUGCCCAGUUUUUCUUGCUAUUCUAUCCUUUCUCUAUAGAAAAAAGAAAAAAAAAGUUCAAGCCAAAAAUUACCCCCCCAAACAAACAAACAAACAAACAAACAAACAAAACACUGUAUAUGCAGAAAGACAGGCACCUAAGCUAAUUCAAUUAACAGAGGACUUCCCUCAGCCCAAGAAAGAACACAUAUCUCUAGUAAGCUGCUUGUUCACAGAGGUGAAAAAGGAGUAUUUUGAGAAAAGUCAAUCUCUUUAACAAAUUGUUCUCUUGCCCUACAAAAAGUUAAACUUAAAAGAGAUCAGAUACCUUAACGAAAGAUUCAAAAUUUGGAACUACUAGAAGAAAAAUAGAACUACUGAAGGAUAUUAAUAUAGGGGAAAAUUAGUCUAUAGGAAUCCAAAAACCCAACAAACAAGGCACUGGACAAAUGGGACUACAUCAAGUUAAAAGGUUUGAACAGAAAAGGAAAAAAUAGCUAACAGACUUGGACAGACUAUUUGUCAACCUUUAGUGGAAGAUGAAUAACUAGUAUAUGUAAGUAACUAAAAAUCUUAACAUUGAAACAAUAAUGCACAGAAAAAUAGUCAAAUGUGUUCAGCACACAUUUCUAAAGAAAUAGGCAGAGAGUACAGGAAACAAAAACUUUCAAAAUAUUAUUAAUCAUCAAAGAAAUGCAAGAGGAAACUGAAUGGAAAUUCAUUCUAUUUUCAGUCAGAAUGGCAAAUAAGAAAAAGAAAAAAAGACAAUCC